UGGGGAAUAUUGCACAAUGGGCGCAAGCCUGAUGCAGCGACGCCGCGUGGGGGAUGACGGCCUUCGGGUUGUAAACUCCUUUCGCUAGGGACGAAGCUUUUUGUGACGGUACCUAGAUAAGAAGCACCGGCUAACUACGUGCCAGCAGCCGCGGUAAUACGUAGGGUGCGAGCGUUGUCCGGAAUUACUGGGCGUAAAGGGCUCGUAGGUGGUUUGUCGCGUCGUCUGUGAAAUUCCGGGGCUUAACUCCGGGCGUGCAGGCGAUACGGGCAUAACUUGAGUACUGUAGGGGUAACUGGAAGUCCUGGUGUAGCGGUGAAAUGCGCAGAUAUCAGGAGGAACACCGAUGGCGAAGGCAGGUUACUGGGCAGUUACUGACGCUGAGGAGCGAAAGCAUGGGUAGCGAACAGG
rnacentral:rRNA from 1 species